UACGUAGGGGGCGAGCGUUGUCCGGAGUUACUGGGCGUAAAGAGCUCGUAGGCGGUGUGUCACGUCGGCCGUGAAAACCUGCAGCUUAACUGUGGGCGUGCGGUCGAUACGGGCAUCACUGGAGUUCGGCAGGGGAGACUGGAAUUCCUGGUGUAGCGGUGAAAUGCGCAGAUAUCAGGAGGAACACCGGUGGCGAAGGCGGGUCUCUGGGCCGAUACUGACGCUGAGGAGCGAAAGCGUGGGGAGCAAACAGG
rnacentral:rRNA from 1 species